CUUCUCUCCACCACUUCUCAAUUCUUACACUGACACUUCUGAGAACAGCCAAUGCCUUCUCUGGGUACUGGCCCAUGGCUGACUCACCAGAGAGCAUCAAAGCAUCAGCCCGCUGCCUAACUGCUUCAGAAACAUCAGCUACUUCAGCUCUGGUGGGUGUAGGGUAUUCAAUCAUAGAUUCAAGUAAUUGAGAGGCAACAAUGACUGGCUUAUUUAGCUGCCUGCAGAGCUGAACAAUUCUUUGCUGGGCUGAUGGGACCUGUUCCAAUGGUAUCUGCGCACCCAGAUCUCCUCUUGCUACCAUAGCUCCAUCUGAUGCUUGAAUGAUCUCAUCCAAGUUCUUCAAUGAGUCAAUACUCUCUAUCUUUGCAAUCACAGCUAUAUCAUGAUCACGAGACCGUGCAGCAACAUAGCUUUUGAGAUGAUUAAUCACUUCAGC
rnacentral:misc_RNA from 1 species